rnacentral:lncRNA from 1 species
CGGAUCUGCACAACAAUGUAUAACUGCAAACAAAAAUAAAUACAUAAGCUCAAAUACAAUCAACCAACAGGAAACAAUAAAUAACAAAAUGUAUAAUAUACUUACCAGGUUUUACUCGAUCUUACAGUUAGUGUUUGAGACUUCUCCCGAAUUGCAUAGUCCUUCAUAACAGAUUUUAGUACUCUUUUUGAGACAUAAAGUUGUUCAACCUCAAUAUGUUUGUGAUGUGGUCGGAGAUAAUAACUCUCGUUGUAUCCAUUUCAAAUACAUCUAAACAUUCUUCUGAAGGAGUAUCUAUUAAUGCUUUUUGAGUACUUCUAUUUACCACGUUACUCGCAUUGACAACCAUCCUUAAACUUUCCGAAUUACACAAUGAUGAACUUACUAAUGUGCUGAAAUUAUCCCUGUCAGAAACACUUACAUACAAAGGAAAAUUACUCAAAUCUUUCAACUCUUUUUUCUGCAUAAUGUAGACCUUCAAACCCAUAUCAUUACGUAUAUGUAUUUUCACUGCAUUAUCUGUUAAUUGAUAUUCGAUUUCAAUGCAUUUGCACGUCAAAUCAAAAUUAAUAUGAAAAGCAAGUACCGUGUAUAGUUGAUCAUAUGUAGCGUUUACGCUCAACAAUAUCGCAUCACUGACGUACUUUUCAUAUUGUUGCUCAUAAUUCCAUCCACCUGAGUGUUUGACAAGAACUGCAAUGCUUUCCAUUUUCAAUAUGUACGAAACUACAAAACAGUAAAAAUCAAUUUAAAUAUCUAAUACGUAGUAUACACAACAACACAUUCGUUAAUACAAAACUCCCAAGCGAAUUCAAACAAACAAAAUUUAAUCGAAACAUGCUUACCGAAAAAAAUUUAUCAAAUUAACGUUUUAAAAUUGCUACUCAACUUUCAAACUUUAGAACAACAACGACUUAUUUGAAAUUGUAAAGAAAACACUUAAACAAUUUCUUCCAAAAUCUGAUAAAAUUGACAUACUACAUCAUUUUGUUGAAUCCCGAGAACAAUUACAGAUAUUUGGUACAAUUUCUUCAACAAAUUUUUCACUAUAAUUAUAAUGAAAUCACAAAUAGUAUAAACUUUAUUGAUACAUACCCGUUAUUGCACAGUUGUAUUUUUAAAUGUACUUCACAAUGCUAGUUGAUCAGAAAAAAAAAACAUUUAAUCAAACGUUUUUGAAUUUGAAUCUGUAUUUUUUGAUUUGAUUUUGAGUUUCUGAUUAUGAAAAAUAUUUUUUGAAUUUGAAUUAAUUGCAGUAAUUUAACGUUUGAUGAAAAAUAAAAAAAAAAUUUAAAUGAUAAGGAACUCUACCAAUUAAUUGUUCCAUAAAUUAGGGAACCGUUUUUCCCAAAUUAAAACUGAAACUGAUUAGCAUUAUAUCAGGAACAAAAUAUUCCGUUGUAUAUGUAUUAAACUAGCAACAAUUUACUCAAAUACAAAAUACAUAUUGCUAUUUUUUGUAAUUUUGAAAUUGUUGUUAGAAAAGUUAUAAUUAAGACUCUAUAGUUGCUAGUUUUGAAAUUUUCCCGAAUAUUAUUCUUAGAGGAUUAGGAGAACGUUUUCUUUAUAGGUUGAAGACUACCUGGAUCUAUAUAUAGAGAGGUUAUAGGUGGAAAUAUAUUCUAGAAACUCUUUAAAUUCUUGUAUUAUUUUCGUACAUAUUUUCGCAACAAGAUUGAAGGAAAAAGACUAAAACAAAAGCUUAGCCAGUAACUACUCCAAGUUCUUAUAGGAAAAGGCUUUGCUAUACAUCCCAAACAAAUCUCUAUAUAAAUCGUUUAUUAUUUCCCCAAAUUUUAAGGUUUAACAAGAACAACAUACAUACAUAGUGUGUAUGUUAGAGAGGUUGUUUUCAAUAGACCCAAUCCAAAAUUCUAGAUACAAUGUACAUACCCAGUGUAUUCGUUCGAGAGGUUAUUUCCAUAGACCCGAUAAUUCUAGGGUUUAACAAGAACAACAUACAUACUUAGUGUAUAGUUAGAGAGGUUGUUUUCGCUAGACUUGAUUGUUAAAUUCUAGUGUUUAACAAGAACAACAUAAAUACCUAGUGUGUACGAGAGGUUGUUUUUGGUAGACUCGAUCUUCUCAAAUUCAAAGACCAACCGUGGCACGUAACAAAAAAAAUCAUAAUCAAUGUUAAACCAAUACAUCUCAGACAAGAAACCCAAACAACAACCACUCCGUCGUCCAUAUUUAGCUUCACAGUGCAGAGAUUUACCUAAAGCAGACAAAUGGAGGCAACAAGUCAUGCAAGAAAUUGGCAGAAAAGUACUUGAGAUCCAAAACGAAGGCCUCGGUGAACACUGUUUGCGUGACAUGAACAAUGAGAUCAAUAAGCUGAUUCGCGAAAAAAGUCAUUGGGAGAAGAGAAUUGUUGAAGUUGGUGGACCGAAUUACAUGAAACAUAACAUUGUUGGUUCAUCGAAGUCAGAUGGACGUGGUCCUGGAUACAUAUAUUUUGGUGCUACGAAGAAGUUGCCUGGUGUUAGGUAGAUGUCCGAGAAUCCACCUGAAUCGCGAAAAAGAAGAGUAACUAUGGCAUGAGACAUACAAGAUGACUGAUGCUAGUUAUUAUGGAUAUAGAGAUGAUGAUAAUGAAAUACUGGAAAAAUUGGAGGGAAAAUGUAUAUUAGGUGCAAAUUUGUUCGUGGAUGGGGUCGUGCAUGUCACGACCUAGAAUAGGAUCAUGACCGGCGCUAAGGAGUUUAGGACUCCAAAGCAAGCCUCGUUAGAAUUCUACAGAAAAUCGGGCGGAGUUUCCUCUGUUUUUGGGUCUAUCAAGAAAAUUUUCUGUCUCAAAUCAACAACACCACAACCAACACAUCAAUCACACUAACACAAUCCAUCACAAACCAUCAACAAGUCACCAACACCACCCAAUAACAACAUAAAAUCCAUAUCCAAAACAUGAGAGGGAGUUCAAAUACUCCACAAAUCCAAAAUAAUGAAAGAAUACUCAAAGCUCUAAAGACAUGACUAUGGAGCGACUCUAAGAGUUUGCAAGAAAUAGAACAUAACAAAUAAAUAAACUCCUGCCCAAGCGAACAAAUGCGGGGCUCACUAGGAAAAUGCUACCUCGAACUCUCUAGCUAACGUAAUUCUCGCCGUCACCUGCAUUCUCUGAAAAAUAAUAGCAAGGAGUGAGACGCUAGCUCAGUGAGUAAUAGCACUUAACCACAACUGUUUAAAUAGGGACAAGUCAUAAAACAUCAUGAAAUAAUGCUCUUUCAGAAAACAGUAACAAUAAACAAUAUCAUUGUUUCAUGCAAGCCAAGUGAACCAAUAGUUCAGUAAUAAACUCAAAAAGCAUCGUAUCAUAUCAAAUAUUAUAUAUUUGGGAGGUUUUCAAGAAUGAAUCAUGUAAUCAGUGUGACAUUCUUCUUCAUCAAGAAUAACCCAUAACAGUGGAACCCUCAUAAAGGAGUCAACUAUCAUAUCAGUAACAGUGUUGUAACAGUCAUCAGUAGAUACAAGGUGCACCAGGUCUAACGAUCCCGCUGUUAGCUACGGGAUUCAAAUCAAGGUCUACUCCCAUUUAUAAAUUCUUUGUAAACAAUAGGAUAUUCAUAUGAAAGCAUUUUUCAGAAUAAUACAUAUCAUUUAAAAUUCAUAUCAACUCAUGUUACAUGUAAACUUGAAUAAAAACAUAUGUCAAAAUACAUAUUUCUCAUGUAAGUGAAGAAUAUUCACAGUAAUAAUAUCAUAUCUCAAAUAACAAUUUCAAUAUCAUAUCAAGUAAAUGACUUGCCCCACAUGCAAUUUCAAAGCAUUUCGUAACUCAUUGUUUUCAUCAAAAUCAAGUAAAAUAUGCAAGUUAACAAACACAAAUUAUGGUAAGAUUACUACUCACAGUACACGUGUCGGAAUACCAAAUUUGUCAUCCCGAAUGAUUCGUAUCACUUUCUUGGAUCAAAACUAUAAUCACAUCAUAUCCAUUCUCGUGUUAAAUCUCUUAUUUUAGACUAACUCGUGAUAAAAUUAGACUACCCAACGCUUAAGGUUUCAUGAUAUUUUUCAAUUCACUGAAUUUCAUACCCGUUAUCGCAAUAAUGAUGUAGGAAAGGAUUCACCUUAAUCCUUGACUUGAAGGUAUAAAAAUUACAAUUCAAUCAUCUAAUAUUAUCGCUCCGUUCAUGAAGAUUUAAAGAUUUCUCUAUUACUUGGAAUUCCUUGUUCUUAAACUCUCAAUCCACAAACUUGAAGCCAUAAAACAUAUGAAUCAAAAUAUAUAAACUAAGUUAAGAAAUUUACCUUGAAACCAAUAGAAUUUCUCAAAGAAUUUUCUUUUUUUUUUCUUCUUCUUUAGCCAAAAGGACGAGUUUUUUUUUUUUUUUUCUUUGCUGUUGUUGUUUGCUGCUACAGGUGCGUUUUGCACGUUGUUGUUGUUGCUGCCUAGUUGCAGCAUGAAGGGGAGGCCUUAUAAACCCACCUAUUCCCCUCAAAUCCCCAAUUCUUU